rnacentral:rRNA from 1 species
UACAUGGGGUGCAAACGUUGCUCGGAAUUAUUGGGCGUAAAGCGCACGUAGGCGGUUCGUUAAGUCGGAUGUGAAAGCCCUCGGCUCAACUGAGGAAGUGCACCCGAAACUGGCGAGCUUGAGUACGAAAGAGGAUCGCGGAAUUCCCGGUGUAGAGGUGAAAUUCGUAGAUAUCGGGAGGAACACCGGUGGCGGAGGCGGCGAUCUGGGUCGAUACUGACGCUGAGGUGCGAAAGCGUGGGGAGCAAACAGG